UACGUAGGGUGCAAGCGUUAUCCGGAAUUAUUGGGCGUAAAGAGCUCGUAGGCGGUUUGUCGCGUCUGCUGUGAAAACCGGAGGCUCAACCUCCGGCCUGCAGUGGGUACGGGCAAACUAGAGUGCGGUAGGGGAGAUUGGAAUUCCUGGUGUAGCGGUGGAAUGCGCAGAUAUCAGGAGGAACACCUGUGGCGAAGGCGGGUCUCUGGGCAGUAACUGACGCUGAGGAGCGAAAGCGUGGGGAGCGAACAGG
rnacentral:rRNA from 1 species